AAUAUGUUACUUAUAUUGCCACAUACAAUACUAAUUCAUGUGUAUAUAAGUCAAAUAACAUCGACAUGAGUACUUAUUGGAAAUGUCAGGUGAGUGUUCUUGGAACUUCUGGAUAAUACAUGUCAAGAUCAUAUGUUAAGCAAAGAGCUCAGCCACUAAAUUUCAGGUGAUUUUACGUACUCUAAUCAGAUGAUUUGAUGUGUUUCCUAAUCAUGUUAAUAAGAGCAUUUUGUGUUGUUGAUCUAUGAAUGAAGUAAUGUGAAACCCAUUAUUAUUGCUUAUCUGAUAUGUUUUUGCUUUGUAUAUGUGAAAAUAUAAGAAUACUUAACAGUUUUUACUCUAGCAACAUAGCAAUUUUGGCUUUUAAAAUGUGAGAUUACUUAAUGUAGAUUGAAUACUACAAGUAAUGUACACAUGCUAAUAGUUCAAUUAAUAUUUGCUUGCUAUUUUGAAUCUUAGUAAAGUUUGUAACUGUUUUCUUUCCUCAGAAUUGAUAGCUAAUACCCUGAAUACCUAUUUUGCUAUUUGAUAGCGCUCCUGUUUUUUUAAACAUGCAAGUAUAUAUAGGAGUUAAAGUUAUAUAUGCAACACCAUGCUUUGAAUUAUGUGUUUAAAAAUAGUAGUAAUAAUACAGUGAUUAUGGAGGAUGUUGGACUUGUGGGUUUUUUUGCAGGUUGAUAUGGAUCGAGUUACAUAUGUAGCAGUAGGAGAAACUAGCUUUAAAUUAUGUAGGUAGGUUCAAUUGAAUACUAGUAGCACAUUGCGGAUGUUGGACUGGUGGUUUUUUAGGUUUCUUUUAGAUCUUAGACAUGCAUUAAGAUGGGUGUGCGCUAUGUAUAUGGCAUUCUUUGAUGUUUAAUACAUGUUAUACAAUAUUUACAAUAUGAUCAUAUCUUGGUGGAUCGUAGUGAUCUUAUAUUAUGUAUCUAUUUUGGUUUCCCAAUCAAGGUUAAUACUAUGCUUUUGAUGCUUUUAUGAGAUUUUGGUUUGUAUGCUAUAACUAUUUUUCAUUUGCUAAAUUGGUAGAACAAAUCAUACAACAGGUUAAUGACAAUCCAACGUUGUCUGAAUAAAUGAUUCUACAACUAAUUCUCUUGGAAUGUAGCGUUGUGUGAGUAUUGAUUCACACAAUGGUAAUGCGGAACAAACAUGUGUUCUUCUUAACA
rnacentral:lncRNA from 1 species